rnacentral:rRNA from 1 species
GAUGAACGCUGGCGGCGUGCCUAAUACAUGCAAGUCGAGCGAACGGACGAGAAGCUUGCUUCUCUGAUGUUAGCGGCGGACGGGUGAGUAACACGUGGAUAACCUACCUAUAAGACUUGGAUAACUUCGGGAAAACGGAGCUAAUACCGGAUAAUAUUUUGAACCGCAUGGUUCAAAAGUGAAAGACGGUCUUGCUGUCACUUAUAGAUGGAUCCGCGCUGCAUUAGCUAGUUGGUAAGGUAACGGCUUACCAAGGCAACGAUGCAUAGCCGACCUGAGAGGGUGAUCGGCGACACUGGAACUGAGACACGGUCCAGACUCCUACGGGAGGCAGCAGUAGGGAAUCUUCCGCAAUGGGCGAAAGCCUGACGGAGCAACGCCGCGUGAGUGAUGAAGGUCUUCGGAUCGUAAAACUCUGUUAUUAGGGAAGAACAUAUGUGUAAGUAACUGUGCACAUCUUGACGGUACCUAAUCAGAAAGCCACGGCUAACUACGUG